AGAUAUGGCCACACCACCCUGAAUGUGCCCGAUCUCUUCCGAUCUCAGAAGCUAAGCAGGGUCUGGCCUGGUUAGUACUUGGGUGGGAGAAUACAGAAUGUAAUCACUA
ensembl:rRNA 5S_rRNA 5S ribosomal RNA